rnacentral:tRNA from 1 species
GGUAAAAUGGCGGAGGAUAAGCAUUGAACUGUAAAUUCAAAGACAGAGACUAGAUAUCUCUUUUUACCA